ACGAGAAAAGGCGCUCGCGCCGCACUCUCAAACCUUUGCGUACCCAAUCUUGUCUCUUGCGGGGGGUCCGCCCCCCGCGAGGAACCAAAACACUUGUUUGAUGUUGUCAGAAACCAAAUAAAAAAAAAA
rnacentral:misc_RNA from 1 species